GAGGGUCUAGCUCAGUGUCCAGAGUGACUGCUUAGCAUGCAUGAGGUCCUGGGUUCAAUCCCCAGCACCUCCA
rnacentral:tRNA from 1 species